GCGAGUACAUACUCACGUACUUGAGAAUUGAGAAACGGCAACUGACUCCUGUUAUUGAGCACUUCAGACCUUACUAUGAGGCUUACUUCUGGUUCCUCGUGAUAAAGGUCAUUCAUGUGGUCAGAGUGUGAAAGCAACUCAUGUAACACUGCCUAACAGAACCACAGACUGUCCAGGAGCCCACUGAUGUCCUGAUCCAGGUCUGGAAGGAUAUCCCCUAUGACACUAUCCACCGUCUCAUCAGGGAGCAUGCCCAGAAGUCGUAGGAACGUAAGAGGUCACAUCGAUUAGUUAUACACACAUUAGACUUCAUCACCUGUGAGACCUGAGCAGCCUGCACACAUCUGCAAUUAGAUACCAGAAGAAGCUGCUGCUGAUCCAGAGCAACAAACCGACCAAAGAUGCUGAAGCACAUCUCCACCGGCCCACACACAGGUGUUACAACAGCAUCCAGCAGGUGGUCGUAUCUUGAGCACCUCUCUUUACAUCCUAUACAGUGCCACUAAUGAUUGUCAUUAGAAACUCUGUGCACUCUCUGGUCACUGCUUUAAAAGUGAAAAAUGUAAA